rnacentral:tRNA from 1 species
UGAUUCUUUAGGUUAAUAAAACUACAUAAAUUGCUAUUAUGGGAUUUUAGGAUCA